rnacentral:tRNA from 1 species
GGGUGCUUAGCUCAGUUGGUUAGAGCAACUGGCUUUUAACCAGUAGGUCCUAGGUUCGAGUCCUAGAGCACUCACCA